AUGGAUUUACGACACUGCACGAUCUGUUCCACGCUUCCGGUCGUAGUUGUAGCGGUCUGCCGUUAGCCUCCACCGGGAAGCUAACGUUAGUUUAGCUGACAGCUAAUUCGGCCAAUCGCUAGCUGAGACAGCAUGAUUUUUUUUCUGGUUUUAU